UAGGGAAUAUUGGGCAAUGGAGGCAACUCUGACCCAGCCAUGCCGCGUGAACGAAGAAGGCGCUAUGCGUCGUAAAGUUCUUUUAGAUGGGGCGAAAAUGCGGGAUUUAUCCUGUACUGACGGUACCAUCGGAAUAAGCACCGGCUAACUCCGUGCCAGCAGCCGCGGUAAUACGGAGGGUGCGAGCGUUAUCCGGAAUCACUGGGUUUAAAGGGUGCGUAGGCGGGGCGAUAAGUCAGAGGUGAAAUCUCGUAGCUUAACUACGGAAUUGCCUUUGAUACUGUUGUUCUUGAAAUAUGUUGAGGUUGGCGGAAUGAGACAUGUAGCGGUGAAAUGCAUAGAUAUGUCUUAGAACACCGAUUGCGAAGGCAGCUGACUGGACAUUAUUUGACGCUGAGGC
rnacentral:rRNA from 1 species